rnacentral:rRNA from 1 species
GACGAACGCUGGCGGCGAUGCUUAACACAUGCAAGUCGAACGGAAAGGCCCUGCUUUUGUGGGGUGCUCGAGUGGCGAACGGGUGAGUAACACGUGAGUAACCUGCCCUUGACUUUGGGAUAACUUCAGGAAACUGGGGCUAAUACCGGAUAGGAGCUCCUGCUGCAUGGUGGGGGUUGGAAAGUUUCGGCGGUUGGGGAUGGACUCGCGGCUUAUCAGCUUGUUGGUGGGGUAGUGGCUUACCAAGGCUUUGACGGGUAGCCGGCCUGAGAGGGUGACCGGCCACAUUGGGACUGAGAUACGGCCCAGACUCCUACGGGAGGCAGCAGUGGGGAAUAUUGCACAAUGGGCGGAAGCCUGAUGCAGCAACGCCGCGUGCGGGAUGACGGCCUUCGGGUUGUAAACCGCUUUCGCCUGUGACGAAGCGUGAGUGACGGUAAUGGGUAAAGAAGCACCGGCUAACUACGUGCCAGCAGCCGCGGUGAUACGUAGGGUGCGAGCGUUGUCCGGAUUUAUUGGGCGUAAAGGGCUCGUAGGUGGUUGAUCGCGUCGGAAGUGUAAUCUUGGGGCUUAACCCUGAGCGUGCUUUCGAUACGGGUUGACUUGAGGAAGGUAGGGGAGAAUGGAAUUCCUGGUGGAGCGGUGGAAUGCGCAGAUAUCAGGAGGAACACCAGUGGCGAAGGCGGUUCUCUGGGCCUUUCCUGACGCUGAGGAGCGAAAGCGUGGGGAGCGAACAGGCUUAGAUACCCUGGUAGUCCACGCUGUAAACGGUGGGUACUAGGUGUGGGGUCCAUUCCACGGGUUCCGUGCCGUAGCUAACGCUUUAAGUACCCCGCCUGGGGAGUACGGCCGCAAGGCUAAAACUCAAAGGAAUUGACGGGGCCCCGCACAAGCGGCGGAGCAUGCGGAUUAAUUCGAUGCAACGCGUAGAACCUUACCUGGGUUUGACAUGGAUCGGGAGUGCUCAGAGAUGGGUGUGCCUCUUUUGGGGUCGGUUCACAGGUGGUGCAUGGCUGUCGUCAGCUCGUGUCGUGAGAUGUUGGGUUAAGUCCCGCAACGAGCGCAACCCUUGUUCACUGUUGCCAGCACGUUAUGGUGGGGACUCAGUGGAGACCGCCGGGGUCAACUCGGAGGAAGGUGGGGAUGACGUCAAGUCAUCAUGCCCCUUAUGUCCAGGGCUUCACGCAUGCUACAAUGGCUGGUACAGAGAGUGGCGAGCCUGUGAGGGUGAGCGAAUCUCGGAAAGUCGGUCUCAGUUCGGAUUGGGGUCUGCAACUCGACCUCAUGAAGUCGGAGUCGCUAGUAAUCGCAGAUCAGCAACGCUGCGGUGAAUACGUUCCCGGGGCU